GAACUUAAGCAUAUCAAUAAGCGGAGGAAAAGAAACCAACAGGGAUUGCCUCAGUAACUGCGAGUGAAGCGGCAAAAGCUCAAAUUUGAAAUCUGGUACCUCUGGGUGCCCGAGUUGUAAUUUGGAGAGGCAACUUCGGAGGGGGCGCUGGCCUAAGUUCCUUGGAACAGGACGUCACAGAGGGUGAGAAUCCCGUGCUUGGCUGGCUGUCCUCCUUCGUGUGAAGUGUCUUCGACGAGUCGAGUUGUUUGGGAAUGCAGCUCAAAAUGGGUGGUAAACUCCAUCUAAGGCUAAAUAUUGGCGAGAGACCGAUAGCGCACAAGUAGAGUGAUCGAAAGAUGAAAAGCACUUUGAAAAGAGAGUUAAAAAGUACGUGAAAUUGUUGAAAGGGAAGCGCUUGAGACCAGACUUGGUGAUAGGUGAUCAGCGGUUGCUUCUGCUCCGUGCACUUGCCUGUUACCGGGCCAGCAUCAGUUGCGACGGUGGGAUAAAGCCUCAGGGAAUGUGGCUCUCUUUGGGGAGUGUUAUAGCCUUGAGGGUAAUGCUGCCUGUCGCGACUGAGGACCGCGCUUCGGCUAGGAUGCUGGCAUAAUGGUCUUCAGCGACCCGUCUUGAAACACGGACCAAGGAGUCUAACAUCUAUGCAAGUGUUCGGGUGUAAAACCCCUACGCGUAAUGAAAGUGAACGGAGGUGGGAACUCUUUGGAGUGCACCAUCGACCGAUCCUGAUGUCUUCGGAUGGAUUUGAGUAGGAGCAUAGCUGUUGGGACCCGAAA
rnacentral:rRNA from 1 species